UUAACCCUCCUGUUGUCUUUGGGUCGGUUUUCAUGUAUUUUUGAAUAAAGGUUUCCUUUAGGUGAUCCAGACAGGCUGGACCAGUGGGUGCUGAACAUCCGGAGGAAUAAAUGGACCCCCAACGUUUCUUCUCGCCUGUGCAGUGAACACUUUGAGAGUCAUCACUUCAGCACGGACUCAUGGGGAAGGAGAUGCCUGAAAAACACUUCAGUGCCCACCAUUUUCUAUUUCACCAAAGAACAACAGCCUAGACGGAAAAGCAGGGUGAGUAGCAAUGACGAGG